UGAUAUUUGUCCCAACCAUCUGAUUUUCUGAAUUGCUGAAAAUUCAGCAGCAAUAUACUGAAUUUCGAGGCAGUGAUGGAAACGGACCUACAAAACUGUCGAACAACUCGGGUGAAUCACCUGCUUGGCACCAGUGUUCGGGACCAAAGUUGCCAAUGUCGAUGAAAAAGGUCCCAACAUAACAUGUUUUGCACAAUAAGUACAUUAAAUGAAGGGGUAAUAAGCACAAAAAUACUUUUAAACUUAACUUAGAUAAUUUACACUUCUUAAAAAUAAGUCCCAAGAAAAUAAUUAUUUUGUAUCAUACAAUGACAACCCUUGCUUUGUUUCUAUAAAAUUCGUACGGAAACUGGAACAGGAGCGUCGGAUUUGCAAAUAAUUUUUAAAAAGUCAACUAUGUUACUACAACCCAACCUGUUAUGCAACAAUGUUAACAUUUUUAAGUGGUUUAAAUUUGUUUGAUUUGUUGUAUCUUGUCCUUAAAUGUGUGUUAAUAUGAACUGACUCCGGUUUCUACUUGUUUUCUAGGAAUAAAAUAUGCAAAAAAUA